ACGGAGGGUGCAAGCGUUGUUCGGAAUCACUGGGCGUAAAGGGCGCGUAGGCGGUUUGAUAAGUCAGAUGUGAAAGCCCACGGCUUAACUGUGGAAGUGCAUUUGAAACUGUCAGACUUGAGUAUCAGAGGGGAAAGUGGAAUUCCCGGUGUAGAGGUGAAAUUCGUAGAUAUCGGGAGGAAUACCGGUGGCGAAGGCGACUUUCUGGCUGAAUACUGACGCUGAGGCGCGAAAGCGUGGGGAGCAAACAG
rnacentral:rRNA from 1 species